UGGGGCUGGAUUGAUUACUGUGGGGA
rnacentral:piRNA from 1 species